rnacentral:lncRNA from 13 species
GUCAAUGUUCAGUCAUCCUCUCUUCUGUUCUGUUGUCAAUGUUCAGUCAUCCUCUCUUCUGUUCUGUUGUCAACGUUCAGUCAUCCUCUCUUCUGUUCUGUUAUCAACGUUCAGUCAUCCUCUCUUCUGUUCUGUUAUCAAUGUUCAGUCAUCCUUUCUUCUGUUCUGUUGUCAACGUUCAGUCAUCCUCUCUUCUGUUCUGUUGUCAACGUUCAGUCAUCCUUUCUUCUGUUCUGUUGUCAACGUUCAGUCAUCUUCUCUUCUGUUCUGUUGUCAACGUUCAGUCAUCCUCUGUUCUGUUGUCUUUCGUCAGUCAUCCGCUCUUCUGUUCUGUUGUCAACGUUCAGUCAUCCUCUGUUCUGUUGUCUUUCGUCGGUCAUCCUCUCUUCUGUUCUGUUGUCAACGUUUAGUCAUCCUCUCUUCUGCUCUGUUGUCAAUGUUCAGUCAUCCUCUCUUCUGUUCUGUUGUUAACGUUCAUUCAUCCUCUCUUCUGUUCUGUUGUCAACGUUCAGUCAUCCUCUCUUCUGUCCUGUUGGUCUUUGUUCUUAUUACUUUGGUACAGAGUUUCAAUGGCAAGAUCAACUUGCUAAAUAUAAUCUGUUUUUGUGUGUGUGUGUGUGUGUGUGUGUGUGUACGUGUGUGUGUGUGUGUGUGUGUGUGUGUGUGUGUGUGUGUGUGUGGUGACACAGGCUUAUGGGUGUUCCUUCGCACAGCAUGAAUUCAGUCAAAUCCACACCAGAGACAGGUGAGACUUUUACAGAACAAUGUGUACAUUUUAUAGUAUGUAUUUUCUCUUGAUUGUGUAUGCCGUGCACAUAGCAAACAUUUACCCAAAGAGAUAGCUAACAAAAAAUAACAUUUUGUUUAACAGCAGGUAUUAUUGGAGGAGGAUGUUAUUGCUGAAGUGAAGAGGUGGGUCGAUAAAUGUCUAUAUUUCUCUUAUAUGAUGUGCAUGAAGCAAUUUGUUUACCCUAAGAUACUCACUAAACUGUGUUUAAUUCAAAUGCAUAGAGUGCUGAAGUGCAGCUUGAAAGCGGUGGUCUGAUUUAUCACACUAUACUGUUGAAUAGGUGAAUUCUAUAAACAACUGUAGGGAGCCAGAACUGCCACAGUGUGGCACAUAUCAGGGGCAUUGGUUCAAAGAACCUAUACUGCAAACCAGAUGGGAGGUGCAUCGCAGUUACCUGAAAUGGGGACUGGAACAUCCACCCAGACCAUCAACCCGGGUCUCACCUCAUCAAUUUGGGGUUAACAGCUGCUAUUAGACUUACAACCUGAGGUACCGAAAUGUAUAUUGAGACAGAAAGUGAGAAGCCUUCAGUAACCUGUAUAUUAUUGAAUAAAUUAUCUUUAUUAAUGACUGAAGCAGUUCCAUAACCUACAUCCAUAAACCCUAAAUAUAAAAUGUUUAUCACCCAGUGGGUAGUAAGCAACAUGUACACAACCACAAUUUAAAACAUUACUAUUGCAGUUGGAAUAUUCGAUUGAAAAUUGGCCAAAGUAUGGUAUCAUAUCUCAUGCUAUCAUAAGGUGGCAGGGUAGCCUAGUGGUUAGAGCUUUGGACUAGUAACUGAAAGGUUGGGAGAUCAAAUCCCCGAGCUGACAAGUUAAAAAUGUGUUGUUCUGCCCCUGAACAAGGCAGUUAAAACACUGUUCCUUAGCAGGCAUUGAAAACGGACAUAUGUUAAAUGAAUAUAUGAUAUCACAGAUUUAUAGAUCGGCAGGUAAGGGUGCUUUCGAGCAGCUAGAUGUUCUUUACCAUUCAGCCUUCAGAAUUGCCACUAAUGCUUCUUAUAGGACACAUCACUGCACUCUAUACUCCUCUGUAAACUGGUCAUCUCUGUAUACCUGUCGCAAGACCCACUGGUUGAUGCUUAUUGAUAAAACCCUCUAUCUGAGAUAACUACUCCAGCCCUCAUCCUCCACAUACAGCAGCCGUUCUGCCAGUCACAUUCUGUUAAAGGUCCCCCAAAGCACACACAUCCCUGGGUCGCUCCUCUUUUCAGUUUGCUGCAGCUAGCGACUGGAUCGAGUUGCAACAAACACUCAAACUGGACAGUUUUGUCCUUUAUCUCUUCAUUAAAAGACUCAAUCAUGGACACUCUUACUGACAGUUUGUGUGAUGUAUUGUUGUCUCUACCUUCUUGCCAUUUGUGCUGUUCUCUGUGCCCAAUAAUGUUUGUGCCAUGUUUUGUGCUGCUACCAUGUUGUGUUGCUUCCAUGUUAUUGUUUUUUUGUGUUGCUACCAUGCUGUGUUGCCAUGUGUUGCUGCUUUGCUAUGUUGUUGUCUUAGGUCUCUCUUUAUGUAGUGUUGUGUUGUCUCUCUUGCUGUGAUGUGUGUUUUGUCCUAAAUUUAUUUUGUAUUUAUUUUACAUUUUUAAUCCCAGGCCUCCGUCCCCGCAGGAGGCCUUUUACCUUUUGGUAGCAAGGCCUUGCAAAUAAGAAUUUGUUCUUAACUGACUUGCCUAGUUAAAUAAUGGUUAAAUCAAAUCAAAUAAAUAGAAAUCAGAUGUUCACCUCAACUCAAUUAUUCAGAAAUUGUAACUUAUUUUCCCACUGCUGAGCAGACUUCUGAAAACCAUGGAGCAUGUACCAUUAUCAAAUUCCCACACAAUAUCUAUAUAUCCAUGGAGACCAAACUAAUAAUGUCCCAUAUCAAAUCACAGUCUAAUAAUUCUCAUAUAAAACCAUAAAGUUCCUAAUGGUCAUGACAUUUCCUUUCACAGUGAGCACAGUGUUCUCUCUUUCAUCUGUUGGAAACAUGUCUCAAUUACGUCAUUUUUUGGUUGAUAAACUGGUUUUCUGGUUGAGAAGACAUUGUAUAGCCAAAAUACAACCAAAAAAAGUUGUAAGGUUAUUAUUGACUGUUUUGUAUCCUCUCUAGUGAUCUUUCAAUCCAUGAGAAGGCAGAUCUGAAGCAAGCACAGUACCUGGCCCAGAGUGAGUUCUGGCCUGGAGUACCAAUCGUAAAUGUCAUGUUAGACCCACAUCGUGUUCUCUGCUAAGAUAAGUGUUCUUAGGGUAUCACUUAGGGGGUUGGGUACUGUGGCUCUAAAAUACAAAUGUUGGUUGAAGGCUUACAAUGGAUAAAUAAAGUGGACUUUAAUUUAGAAAAGUCAUCAUGAAUGAUGUUGAAUAAAUGUGUUAUAAAAGUACUUACGAAUGAUCUGCAACACUCAUGAAGGUGAUAUGAAUGUUUUUAUAAAGGGGCUAUGCGUAAUGUAUAUCCCAUUCAAGUAAAGUGUUAACAAAUGAGUUUUAUUUCCAUGGCCUUUUAGAGAAUUAGAAUGGGUUACUCAUGCAGUGCAGAGACCGACUAAAUCCCAUGACUAAAUAACAAAAAUCAACAUUGAGCUUUGUAUUUCAAACACAAACAUCAGGAAAGCAUACAUUUGCCUACCAAAAGGAACAUGUCCCCAAGCUUACGUCAAUGUUGAAUUUCAUGCAACACAUCUCUUCAUUGUGAAUUCACAAGGUACAGACCAUGUAAAGUAUAUAGUUUAAAGAUGCACUUCAGCUAUUUUUUAAAAACUUUUCCUGUUGAAAAACAAUAUUCAGCAUUCUUCUUGCCAAUGUCCAGUCUCUUGACAACAAGGUUGAUGAAAUCCGAGCAAGGGUAGCAUUCCAGAGGGACAUCAGAGACUGUAACGUCAUUUGCUUCACUGAAACAUGGCUCACUGGAGAGACUCUAUCCGAAGCGGUGCAGCCAACGGGUUUCUCCACGCAUCGCGCUGACAGAAACAAACAUCUUUCUGGUAAGAAGA